rnacentral:misc_RNA from 1 species
UCUCCCGUGAGGGAGCAGUCUCGCCAGACACUUAUAACUGGCAACAGGGGUUGCGUUCGUUACCCCACUUAAGGGAACAAUUCAAACCACGAACUGACGACGGCCAUGCAUCACCUGUUCUGCCGUCCUUGCGGACACCAUUCCUUUCGGAUUGGCUUCGUCAGAAUGUCUAAUCUUGGUAAGGUUCUUCGUUUGACUACGAAUUGAGCCACAUGAUCCACCGCUUGUGCAAGCCCCCGUCUAUUCCUUUGAGUUUUAAUCUUGCGAUCGUACUACCCAGGCGGCCCGCUUAACGCGUUAGCUUCGCCCCUGAGAGGGUCGAUACUCCCAAGAGCCGGCGGGCAACGUUUAGGGCGUGGACUAC